rnacentral:rRNA from 1 species
UACGAAGGGGGCUAGCGUUGCUCGGAUUUACUGGGCGUAAAGGGAGCGUAGGCGGAACAGCAAGUCAGGGGUGAAAGCCCGGGGCUCAACCUCGGAAUUGCCCUUGAGACUGUUGAUCUAGAGUUUGGGAGAGGUGUGUGGAACUCCGAGUGUAGAGGUGAAAUUCGUAGAUAUUCGGAAGAACACCAGUGGCGAAGGCGACACACUGGCCCAAUACUGACGCUGAGGCUCGAAAGCGUGGGGAGCAAACAGG